rnacentral:lncRNA from 1 species
CUUCUGUAGUAAAUCUCAGGUUGUUGUUCACCAGCGAAUUCAUGUAGGAGAAAAAUCCUAUGAAUGCAAGGAAUGUGGGAAAGGCUUUAAUAAAAACACACACCUCAUAACACAUCAAAGAAUUCACACAGGAGAAAAACCUUAUGAAUGCACUGAAUGUGGGAAAGCUUUUAUACACACAUCACAGCUUACUGUACAUCAGAGAAAUCAUACAGGAAGAAAACCUCAUGAAUCCAAGGAAUGAGGGAAAUCCUUUAAUAAAAAGUCACUUCAUAAUAUCGAGAAUUCAUACAGGAGAGAAUGCAGUGAAUGUGGGAAAUCUUUUUCUGUCAAAUCUUUUCUCACUACCCAUCAGGAAAUUCAUACAGGAAACAAAUUUCACAAACACAGUAAGUGCUGGAAGGACUUCAGUGAGAUGUCAAAUAUCCCUGAAUAUAAGAUGA